CAGGUUGCAGCAUUAGGGAGGUUGAGAAUCACUGCUUUAUCUACUUUCUUCCAGCACCCAGGUCUCCUGCCCAGGGAUGUCAGUGUCCAGUGUUCUGGGCCCUUCCACAUCAAUCAUUAUGGACCUAAUUCCUCAACUGAGGUUUCUCUACCCAGAUAACUCCAGCCUUUAUCAAGAUCUGGGGUACACAUAAACAGAACCAUGUCUGCCUGCAAGCCACCAUGUCCCACCAUAAUGAUAAUGGACUAAAUCUCUGAAACUACGCAUCCUGAGCUCCAGGCCACCCAGGAAAACUCUUAGCUGAAUCCAAGACUGAACUUGCCCCAGCCAAGACCUAUAUCACUGCGAGAGAGCAGUGGUAUGGUCUGACUUUCUUUUGACCCUACUAGCUCUCCUUUCUACACUGUUCUACUGACAGCAUGCAUUGUUUCUGCACUGGAGGAUGAAGCCCUGCUCUGGCAACUUGAGGAUUAGUGACAGAACAUUCAAAGUCAGCAUCUGUACACCAUGUAAGACAACAGCAGCAGAGAGCAUGGCACAGGCACUUUGGAGAGAGCCACA
rnacentral:lncRNA from 1 species